UAAUAGGUCCUCUUCAGGACCACAUUAGUGUAUUCUUCCGAUAAUG
rfam:Stegodyphus mimosarum contig102300, whole genome shotgun sequence.